CAGCAGUAGGGAAUAUUGCGCAAUGGGGGAAACCCUGACGCAGCAACGCCGCGUGGAGGAUGACACUUUUCGGAGCGUAAACUCCUUUUCUUAGGGAAGAAUUCUGACGGUACCUAAGGAAUAAGCACCGGCUAACUCCGUGCCAGCAGCCGCGGUAAUACGGAGGGUGCAAGCGUUACUCGGAAUCACUGGGCGUAAAGGGCGCGUAGGCGGAUUAUCAAGUCUCUUGUGAAAUCCAACGGCUUAACCGUUGAACUGCUUGGGAAACUGGUAAUCUAGAGUGGGGGAGAGGCAGAUGGAAUUGGUGGUGUAGGGGUAAAAUCCGUAGAUAUCACCAAGAAUACCCAUUGCGAAGGCGAUCUGCUGGAACUUAACUGACGCUAAGGCGCGAAAGCGUGGGGAGCAAACAGGAUUAGAUACCCUGGUAGUCCACGCCCUAAACGAUGUAUGCUAGUUGUUGGGGUGCUAGUCAUCUCAGUAAUGCAGCUAACGCAUUAAGCAUACCGCCUGGGGAGUACGGUCGCAAGAUUAAAACUCAAAGGAAUAGACGGGGACCCGCACAAGCGGUGGAGCAUGUGGUUUAAUUCGAAGAUACGCGAAGAACCUUACCUGGGCUUGAUAUCCUAAGAACCUUAUAGAGAUAUGAGGGUGCUAGCUUGCUAGAACUUAGAGACAGGUGCUGCACGGCUGUCGUCAGCUCGUGUCGUGAGAUGUUGGGUUAAGUCCCGCAACGAGCGCAACCCACGUAUUUAGUUGCUAACACUUCGGGUGAGCACUCUAAAUAGACUGCCUUCGUAAGGAGGAGGAAGGUGUGGACGACGUCAAGUCAUCAUGGCCCUUAUGCCCAGGGCGACACACGUGCUACAAUGGCAUAUACAAUGAGACGCAAUACCGCGAGGUGGAGCAAAUCUAUAAAAUAUGUCCCAGUUCGGAUUGUUCUCUGCAACUCGAGAGCAUGAAGCCGGAAUCGCUAGUAAUCGUAGAUCAGCCAUGCUACGGUGAAUACGUUCCCGGGUCUUGUACUCACCGCCCGUCACACCAUGGGAGUUGAUUUCACUCGAAGCCGGAAUACUAAACUAGUUACCGUCCACAGUGGAAUCAGCGACUGGGGUGAAGUCGUAACAAGGUAACCGUAGGAGAACCUGCGGUUGGAUCACCUCCUUUCUA
rnacentral:rRNA from 1 species